ensembl:lncRNA
GUGGGCAAGAGGUGGAUUGAGCAGGAUCUCAGGUUUAUGUCGAGGAAAGGAAGAAAGAAACAGAAGUCAGGCAGAGGUGUGUCUGUGCAAACUGGAGGACUCCUUCCAACUUCCUGGAACAAAGAGACAUUGCCAGCAGCAGGCUGGCAGGGAGUGGUUGAGGUCUGGGGGCCAGGCCAUAUGGCUGGAGAGGAAUUUCCGGGAACAUGGCAUCGGGAGGAUGCUAGAUAUCCGGGGACUCCCUCCUGGCCUUCCUGUGUCACUUCACAAUGUGACAGUCCCCAGGCAUGCCCACAGGCCAGGCCCAGUCACAGCUGGGCUUCCACAGGUCAGAGUACGGGACAGGACAUGGUCAGGGAGAGGAUCCUGUGAGUUGGUGACAUAUAUGGGGCAGAGAUGGUAGUGUUCAGCUGCUUCAGCAGUGUCCCCAACCAUCCCAAUAAGUUGGAGGCCUGUGGGCCAGAGGACUCCAUGACAGUUGCCAUAGAGUCCCACCUGCACCAGGUCAGAGCCCACCCGGCAGGAUUCAGAGUGGUCAGCCCAGUUUAAGGGUGGGAGUCUGGAGUCAGAGAGCCAAGCCCCUUCCACGUCUACAGGGUCACCGUCAUCCUCACCACAGCCAGGGGUGAUUCUCACCUCUGCUUGCUUAUGUGGGGUGUGGCCGAUUCCUCCCUUUAGUCAUUCAUUCAUUUAGCAAAUAUUUAUUGGGCAUCGGUGAUGUGUCAGGCACAGUCCUUGGCACACAGAAUACAGCAGUGAAUCAAACAGGCACAAAUUCCUCCCCUCCUGGAGCUCAGUGUCAGGAAAGGGGGUGAUAAAUGACAAUCAAAUCGGCAUGGAGAUUGAGCACCUCUGUACUCAGCCCUCUGUCUCUGUCCUCCUGAGGACAUGACAAGCCUGGUUCCCUAGAGCUCACUUGGACCCUCGAUAUGUUCAUAAUUUCCCUGCUGCUUCUGCCAUUGUUAGACAUCUGCCAGUAAGCCUGCUGAGAGAAGCCUCAGCCCACUCAUACCUAGAGACGCUGCUGGGGACGGUCAGCACACCCAAUAACUUUGGGAGGUGUGUCUGUUUCGGUGUGUGAGAAAGUAGCUGCCCCACAUUCUGGUCAGUUCUUUCCAGUAGCCAUGGGGCUCGCUACAAGAAGCAAAACUCCCAUGCAAAGAGAACACAGGUCACUUUUCAAAACACUUGCAUCAUUACCCUAAAAAUAGGCUGUUAAGCGUUUUGACAAUUGCGCUAUCCUACACUCUGAGGGAGUUGGCAAUGCAUGCGGUAUAGUGGAGUGGGAAGAGUUGAGACUGAAAGUUAAGAGAAGGGUUUUCAAGUCCCGGCUCAUCUCACCCCAGUGACCUUGACAGUGUGCUCACUCUCAGAGCCAUGGAUUGCCUGGGACAAAGUGCAGAUUAGGGCCCACGGUCCUUUACAGGUAUAACAUACUAUCGUUCUUUAAUUUUAUUAUAUAUACAUACUAUUUUUCUGUUUUUUUGCUUUAAGAACUAACCCCGAUCAAGAGUAUUUUCUUUAGCUAGCUUAAAAAGAAAACAUAUGUUUUAUGUAAAAACACAUACAUGGCCAAAUGCAAUACUGAAGAGACAAUCAUCCUGUAUCUUUUAUGGUUUUUCCUGCUUCUGAGUGUCGUUCUAUAAUGCCUGUUGGCUUAUUCCAUUGCAUUUCUGCUUUAGGAUAUGGUUUGGUUGCUUUGGGUUGUCAUGGGAAAGAGACAUUCUCCUUGCAGCUACCUCCAUGUAAGUGAAUUCCUGGAUAAAGCAAGAUUUCCUUUCAAUAAACGCUGUCACCCAAUGG